rnacentral:rRNA from 1 species
GACGAACGCUGCGGCGUGCCUAAUACAUGCAAGUAGAACGCUGAAGGAGGAGCUUGCUUCUCCGGAUGAGUUGCGAACGGGUGAGUAACGCGUAGGUAACCUGCCUGGUAGCGGGGGAUAACUAUUGGAAACGAUAGCUAAUACCGCAUAAUAGCAGUUAUUGCAUGAUAACUGUUUGAAAGGUGCAAUUGCACCACUACCAGAUGGACCUGCGUUGUAUUAGCUAGUUGGUGGGGUAACGGCUCACCAAGGCGACGAUACAUAGCCGACCUGAGAGGGUGAUCGGCCACACUGGGACUGAGACACGGCCCAGACUCCUACGGGAGGCAGCAGUAGGGAAUCUUCGGCAAUGGACGGAAGUCUGACCGAGCAACGCCGCGUGAGUGAAGAAGGUUUUCGGAUCGUAAAGCUCUGUUGUAAGAGAAGAACGAGUGUGAGAGUGGAAAGUUCACACUGUGACGGUAUCUUACCAGAAAGGGACGGCUAAACA